CACGGGAGCUGACGCUAUAGCAUGCUACCUCGAAUCGGCAGCACGGGUCGCUUGGCACCUGUGAUGAGCGAGUGGCGAACGGGUGAGUAAUACAUCGGAACAUGUCCUGUAGUGGGGGAUAGCCCGGCGAAAGCCGGAUUAAUACCGCAUACGAUCUACGGAUGAAAGCGGGGGACCUUCGGGCCUCGCGCUAUAGGGUUGGCCGAUGGCUGAUUAGCUAGUUGGUGGGGUAAAGGCCCACCAAGGCGACGAUCAGUAGCUGGUCUGAGAGGACGACCAGCCACACUGGGACUGAGACACGGCCCAGACUCCUACGGGAGGCAGCAGUGGGGAAUUUUGGACAAUGGGCGAAAGCCUGAUCCAGCAAUGCCGCGUGUGUGAAGAAGGCCUUCGGGUUGUAAAGCACUUUUGUCCGGAAAGAAAUCCUGAGGGCUAAUAUCCUUCGGGGAUGACGGUACCGGAAGAAUAAGCACCGGCUAACUACGUGCCAGCAGCCGCGGUAAUACGUAGGGUGCGAGCGUUAAUCGGAAUUACUGGGCGUAAAGCGUGCGCAGGCGGUUUGUUAAGACCGAUGUGAAAUCCCCGGGCUCAACCUGGGAACUGCAUUGGUGACUGGCAAGCUAGAGUAUGGCAGAGGGGGGUAGAAUUCCACGUGUAGCAGUGAAAUGCGUAGAGAUGUGGAGGAAUACCGAUGGCGAAGGCAGCCCCCUGGGCCAAUACUGACGCUCAUGCACGAAAGCGUGGGGAGCAAACAGGAUUAGAUACCCUGGUAGUCCACGCCCUAAACGAUGUCAACUAGUUGUUGGGGAUUCAUUUCCUUAGUAACGUAGCUACGCGUGAAGUUGACCGCCUGGGGAGUACGGUCGCAAGAUUAAAACUCAAGGAAUUGACGGGGACCCGCACAAGCGUGGAUGAUGUGAUUAAUUCGAUGCAACGCGAAAACCUUACCUACCCCUGACAUGUCGGAACCUUGGAGAGAUCUGAGGUGCUCGAAAGAGAC
rnacentral:rRNA from 1 species